rnacentral:misc_RNA from 1 species
AGCCAAACCAACCACAACCCUUCGCAUUUCAAAGAGUUAGGUGUCCAAGUCUCGCAAAUGGCCGUGUCAUCGUGUCCGUGUCCCAACUACUCCGCCGCAGCCGCCGCUUUCUCUCCUUCCUUCGGGUGCCGCUCUGAUCCGUCCGGCACGGACCAGCCGAGUCACGGCCGGUUUUCUUGCCGAGUCAAUUCGGUUCGUCAUGGAACGGCGUCAUUUCUCGGCGGCGGAAUGCAAUCUCUGAUCUUGAAGUUCCCUCCCAACU